rnacentral:rRNA from 1 species
GGUUUCAGAGAUGAUUACCUUCAGUUCGGCUGGAUUAGUGACAGGUGCUGCAUGGCUGUCGUCAGCUCGUGUCGUGAGAUGUUGGGUUAAGUCCCGCAACGAGCGCAACCCUCGUCCUUAGUUGCCAUCAUUCAGUUGGGCACUCUAAGGAAACUGCCGGUGAUAAGCCGGAGGAAGGUGGGGAUGACGUCAAGUCCUCAUGGCCCUUACACGCUGGGCUACACACGUGCUACAAUGGCGGUGACAGUGGGCAGCAACCGGGCGACCGGUAGCUAAUCUCCAAAAACCGUCUCAGUUCGGAUUGUUCUCUGCAACUCGAGAGCAUGAAGGCGGAAUCGCUAGUAAUCGUGGAUCAGCAUGCCGCGGUGAAUACGUUCCCAGGCCUUGUACACACCGCCCGUCACACCAUGGGAUUUGGAUUCACCCGAAGGCGUUGCGCUAACUCGCAAGAGAGGCAGGCGACCACGGUGGGUUUAGAGACUGGGGUGA